rnacentral:tRNA from 1 species
UAGCUCAGCGGGAGAGCGUCUGCUUAGCACGCAUGAGGCCCUGGGUUCGAUCCCCAG